CCGGUAACACCCGAAGUCAGUAGUCUAACCGCAAGGGGGACGCUGCCGAAGGUGGGGCUGGUGAUUGGGGCGAAGUCGUAACAAGGUAGCCGUAUCGGAAGGUGCGGCUGGAUCACCUCCUUU
rnacentral:rRNA from 1 species